rnacentral:misc_RNA from 1 species
AUCUAAUUCAGCUAACUUAGUGACUAAUAGUAACUCUCUUACCAACGCUUCUUUGUGGAGUAUUUCAUUAUCAUAAACCUGUUUUUGUAUUCUUAUAACCAUCUGAUAAGUCCAAUAUCUUUUCACUACCAGUGUGAGUUUGCUCUCGAACUUUUAAUUGAAAAAUUUAAAAUAAAGGAGAGCACAAUGACAAAAUCAACAAACUGGUGGGUUAGCUGUCAGAAGACAUUAAAGUUUGAUCAUUUUUUAAUGAAUUAA